CACUGGAGUCAGUGGAACAGGGCCCAGCCGGUGUCAGGGGGGUGCAGCUGCACUGGAGUCAGUGGGGCAGGGCCCAGUCGGUGUCAGGGGGGUGCAGCUACACUGGAGUCAGUGAGGCAGGGCCCAGCCGGUGUCAGGGGGGCGCAGCUGCACUGGAGUCAGUGGGGCAGGGCCCUGCCGGUGUCAGGGGGGUGCAGCUACACUGGAGUCAGUGAGGCAGGGCCCAGCCGGUGUCAGGGGGGUGCAGCUGCACUGGAGUCAGUGGGGCAGGGCCCUGCCGGUGUCAGGGGGGUGAAGCUUCACUGGAGUCAGUGGGGCAGGGCCCAGCUGGUGUCAGGGGGGCGCAGCUGCACUGGAGUCAGUAGGGCAGGGCCCUGCCGGUGUCAGGGGGGCGCAGCUGCACUGGAGUCAGUAGGACAGGGCCCAGUUGGUGUCAGGGGGGCGCAGCUGCACUGGAGUCAGUGGGGCAGGGCCCUGCCGGUGUCAGGGGGGUGCAGCUACACUGGAGUCAGUGAGGCAGGGCCCAGCCGGUGUCAGGGGGGUGCAGCUGCACUGGAGUCAGUGGGGCAGGGCCCUGCCGGUGUCAGGGGGGUGAAGCUUCACUGGAGUCAGUGGGGCAGGGCCCAGCUGGUGUCAGGGGGGCGCAGCUGCACUGGAGUCAGUAGGGCAGGGCCCUGCCGGUGUCAGGGGGGCGCAGCUGCACUGGAGUCAGUAGGACAGGGCCCAGUUGGUGUCAGGGGGGUGCAGCUGCACUGGAGUCAGUGGGGCAGGGCCCUGCUGGUGUCAGAGGGAUGCAGCUUCACUGGAGUCAGUGGGGCAGGGCCCAGCUGGUGUCAGGGGGGCGCAGCUGCACUGGACUCGAUGGCAGGUGUCAGUCAGCUCUUGCUGAGAGCGAGACCAGCUCUCACCCCUGGGGAUCUCUCUGGGGUUUGAGAGGUGGGAAACCCCCCUGGGGAACUAAAAUCUGCAGCAAACCUGGGGAGACGCAGCCUGCGAGCAGCGUGAAAUGUCUGUAGCCAGCUGGGACCAGGGACGGAACUGGGGCAGAGCGGUGAAUGAGGGACCCCAGGGCGCUGUACCCGGAGCUUCCCCGCCGAGCCAAGGGAGGGACAAAUCCAGGUGGCUCCUGUUCUCUCUCCGG